CUGGCGCGUGCUAACACUGCAGUCGAACGAGAACGGAACUAGCUCGCUAGUUGUCAGCCAAGNGGCGCACGGGUGAGUAAUAUAUAGNNAAUCUGCCCCAAAGAAGAGAAUAAUNGUUGGAAACGACUNGUAAUGCUCUAUAUGCCUNUAUCACAUAAGNGAGCAAGGGAAACAUUUAUGGCUUUGGGAUGAGACUGUACGGUAUCAGCUAGUUGGUGAGGUAAUGGCUCACCAAGGCUAUGACAUCUAACUGGUUUGAGAGGAUGAUCAGUCACACUGGAACUGAGACACGGUCCAGACUCCUACGGGAGGCAGCAGUGGGGAAUAUUGCACAAUGGAGGAAACUCUGAUGCAGCAACGCCGCGUGGAGGAUGACACAUUUCGGUGCGUAAACUCCUUUUAUAUGAGAAGAUAAUGACGGUAUCAUAUGAAUAAGCACCGGCUAACUCCGUGCCAGCAGCCGCGGUAAUACGGAGGGUGCAAGCGUUACUCGGAAUCACUGGGCGUAAAGCGCAUGCAGGCGGUUAAAUAAGUUGGAAGUGAAAUCCUAUGGCUCAACCAUAGAACUGCUUCCAAAACUGUUUAACUAGAGUCUGGGAGGGGAAGAUGGA
rnacentral:rRNA from 1 species